rnacentral:rRNA from 1 species
CAUUAGCUAGUUGGUGGGGUAAAGGCUUACCAAGGCAAUGAUGCGUAGCGAAACUGAGAGGUUGAUCGGCCACAUUGGGACUGAGACACGGCCCAAACUCCUACGGGAGGCAGCAGUAGGGAAUCUUCCACAAUGGGCGAAAGCCUGAUGGAGCAACGCCGCGUGGGUGAAGAAGGUCUUCGGAUCGUAAAACCCUGUUGUUAGAGAAGAAAGUGCGUGAGAGUAACUGUUCACGUUUCGACGGUAUCUAACCAGAAAGCCACGGCUAACUACGUGCCAGCAGCCGCGGUAAUACGUAGGUGGCAAGCGUUAUCCGGAUUUAUUGGGCGUAAAGGGAACGCAGGCGGUCUUUUAAGUCUGAUGUGAAAGCCUUCGGCUUAACCGGAGUAGUGCAUUGGAAACUGGGAGACUUGAGUGCAGAAGAGGAGAGUGGAACUCCAUGUGUAGCGGUGAAAUGCGUAGAUAUAUGGAAGAACACCAGUGGCGAAAGCGGCUCUCUGGUCUGUAACUGACGCUGAGGUUCGAAAGCGUGGGUAGCAAACAGGAUUAGAUACCCUGGUAGUCCACGCCGUAAACGAUGAAUGCUAAGUGUUGGAG